GCUCUAAGACAAAUAAAGCAAAAUCGUGCAUUCUGAGCGUUUCCCAGACUCUUUCUUGCAUUGAAACGGCUUAAUUAAUUUUUAGAUAUUUUUUUUCGACAAUCAGGUUCCAAAGCAAAAACAAAGAUUCGUUGUAAUUUAAGACUUUUAGGUAUUAGAGACAACAUUAAAAGACCGAUAUGUAGGAUAAAGCAAAAAUCGUAAUUCUCAUAAUUAUUAAUACCGUAUCUGUCUGUCUGUUCUUGUCUUGUAUUGUGAUUAGACUUUGGUGAUUUUUUUACGACUUGAUUUAAAUAUAGUGACAUUGCAGUAUUAUACUUUAAGUACUAGUACUGCUUAAGUCCACACUAGGGACCAUCUUCACCUUGUUUUACGAUCUUUUACGGUAUUAAUGAUUCGUUAAAAGUAUUUUUGAAGACCAUCCGGCAACUAUCAAGAUGAAGAGCAGGAACACAAACUUUGACCAUUGAUCAUUUGUAUUUUUUUCUAUGCAUUGACUUUGUGUGCGAUUAUGUCCACAUACUCCUUUAUUAUCUGUUAAAGGGUCUCAACACGACUUAAUGCAAGUUUAACCUUUCAAUGUAAAAGGUCAUAUAUGGCAAUACCUUGUUUUUUUUCUUCAAAUAAUUGAUACCUGGAAAUAUGUGACCCUACAUUAAUUCAAAC
rnacentral:lncRNA from 1 species